UGGGGAAUAUUGCACAAUGGGCGCAAGCCUGAUGCAGCCAUGCCGCGUGUAUGAAGAAGGGAUUUGGGUUGUAAAGUAAUUUCAGAGGGGAGGAAGGAGAUAAGGUUAAUAACCUUGUCGAUUGACGUUACCCGCAGAAGAAGCACCGGCUAACUCCGUGCCAGCAGCCGCGGUAAUACGGAGGGUGCAAGCGUUAAUCGGAAUUACUGGGCGUAAAGCGCACGCAGGCGGUCUGUCAAGUCGGAUGUGAAAUCCCCAGGCUCAACCUGGGAACUGCAUUCGAAACUGGCAGGCUAGAGUCUUGUAGAGGGGGGUAGAAUUCCAGGUGUAGCGGUGAAAUGCGUAGAGAUCUGGAGGAAUACCGGUGGCGAAGGCGGCCCCCUGGACAAAGACUGACUCUCAGGUGCGAAAGCGUGGGGAGCAAACA
rnacentral:rRNA from 1 species